CGGACCGUAGCUCAGCUGGAUAGAGCGACUGGCUACGAACCAGUAGGUCGGGGGUUCGAGUCCCUCCGGUCCGACCA
rnacentral:tRNA from 3 species